GAUGAAGAACGCAGCGAAAUGCGAUAAGUAAUGUGAAUUGCAGAAUUCAGUGAAUCAUCGAAUCUUUGAACGCACAUUGCGCCCCCUGGUAUUCCGGGGGGCAUGCCUGUUCGAGCGUCAUUUCACCACUCAAGCCUCGCUUGGUAUUGGGCAACGCGGUCCGCCGCGUGCCUCAAAUCGUCCGGCUGGGUCUUCUGUCCCCUAAGCGUUGUGGAAACUAUUCGCUAAAGGGUGUUCGGGAGGCUACGCCGUAAAACAACCCCAUCUCUAAGGUUGACCUCGGAUCAGGUAGGGAUACCCGCUGAACUUAAGCAUAUCAAUAAGCGGAGGA
rnacentral:misc_RNA from 1 species